UGAUUCCGAUAGCUGUAAAAUAUCGACGUUAGUGUUGGUUUAAAAGUUGUAAAUGCGAGAAUGUAUUUUGUCCCAUCGUUGCCAAUGCACGAUAGUUCACUGCUCGCUUUCCAAUUUCUGAGGCAGUUAUGAUCUAGUAUACGUUUCAGUUCUUUAGAAAUGAGCCAUGAAUACUGCUUCUCAGCAACAGUUAAUUGUCUACAGCUGUAAAUUGGUCAACUGUUGGAUUGUUAAAGUCACACUUUACAAGUGGAAUAAAGCUCUUGUCUUUCUUAUUACUACAAGACUCAAGACUGAUGAUGAAACUGUUGCUGAAAAGGAUUGUAAUGUCAACUGCAAUUCAUAUUCAUACCAUCCCUAACUACAUUCAUAUCUUAAGAAUAAUUUUAAUGUUUUUGGAAAAAUAUUUAAAUCAUUAAUAUUACAUUCAUACUAACUUCUGGAAUUUGCUUAGCACUUAGAAGAGGAAAGUAAAAUUUAGA